rnacentral:rRNA from 1 species
AGUGAACGCUGGCGGUAGGCCUAACACAUGCAAGUCGAACGGCAUCACAGUAAUAUCUUGCUCUUACGGGUGGCGAGUGGCGGACUGGUGAGUAAUAAAUCUGAAUCUACGUUUUCGUUGGGGAUAACGUAGGGAAACUUACGCUAAUACCUCAUACGACCUACGGUUGAAAGAAUAGGAUCUUCGGACCUUGCGCGAUUGAAUGAUCCGAUGUCGGAUUAGCUAGUUGGCGGGGUAAAGGCCCACCAAGGAGAGGAUCCGUAGCUGGUCUGCGAGGAUGAUCAGCCACCCUGGAAGUGGGAAACGGCCCAGAGUGACACGGAAGGCAGCCGUAGGGCAUCUUGGGCAAGGAGCGGAAGACAGAUCAAGCCAUACCGCGUGGGUGAAGCAGGAAUUCGGGUUGUAAAACCACUUUGUUGGGAAAGAAAAGUACUAGGUGAAUACAACGAAGAUAUGACGGUACCCAAAGAAUAAGCAACGGCUAAAUUCGUG